CUGUCGUGAGAUGUUGGGUUAAGUCCCCCAACGACCGCAACCCUCCUUCUAUGUUGCCGCCGCGUUAUGGCUGGGACUCCUAAGAUAAUGGCCGGUUACACUCCGAAGAAAGGGGGGAAUAACUCCAAUCCUCCUGGCCCUUAAGUCUUGGGCUUCCCCCCUGCUACCAUGGCCGGGACCAAAGGUUGCCAUACUGUCAAGUGUAACUCAUCCCCAAAAACCCGUCUCAAUUCCGAAUGGGGUCUGGCACUCCACCCCCUGAAAUCUGAAUCCCUUGUAAUCCCAGAACCACCACGCUGCGGUGAAUACGUUCCCGGGCCUUGUACACACCGCCCGUCAAGUCACGAAAGUUGGUAACACCCGAAGCCGGUGGCCUAACCCCUUGUGGAA
rnacentral:rRNA from 1 species